rnacentral:tRNA from 1 species
GGUAAUGUGGCUUAGUGGUAGAGUGCUUGCCUAGCUUGCAUGAAGUCCUGGGUUCGAUUCCUCAGUACCA